rnacentral:rRNA from 1 species
AACACAUGCAAGUCGAACGGCAGCACGGGAGCAAUCCUGGUGGCGAGUGGCGAACGGGUGAGUAAUAUAUCGGAACGUGCCCAGUAAUGGGGGAUAGCCCGGCGAAAGCCGGAUUAAUACCGCAUACGACCUAUGGGUGAAAGCGGGGGAUCGCAAGACCUCGCGUUAUUGGAGCGGCCGAUAUCAGAUUAGCUAGUUGGCGGGGUAAGAGCCCACCAAGGCGACGAUCUGUAGCUGGUCUGAGAGGACGACCAGCCACACUGGGACUGAGACACGGCCCAGACUCCUACGGGAGGCAGCAGUGGGGAAUUUUGGAGAAUGGGCGCAAGCCUGAUCCAGCCAUGCCGCGUGUGGGAAGAAGGCCUUCGGGUUGUAAACCACUUUUGUCAGGGAAGAAACGGCUCUUACUAAUAUUAGGAGCUAAUGACGGUACCUAAG